CUACGGGUGGCUGCAGUGGGGAAUUUUGCGCAAUGGGCGAAAGCCUGACGCAGCAACGCCGCGUGAGGGAUGAAGGUUCUCGGAUCGUAAACCUCUUUCAGACGGGAAGAACACAAUGACGGUACCGUCAGAAGAAGCCCCGGCUAACUCCGUGCCAGCAGCCGCGGUAAUGACGGAGGGGGCAAGCGUUGUUCGGAAUCAUUGGGCGUAAAGCGUAUGUAGGCGGCCAGAUAAGUCAGACGUGUAAGCCCACGGCUCAACCGUGGAAUUGCGUUUGAAACUGUCUGGCUUGAGUACGGGAGAGGAAAGCGGAAUUCCCAGUGUAGCGGUGAAAUGCAUUGAUAUUGGGAAGAACAUCGGUGGCGAAGGCGGCUUUCUGGCCCGAUACUGACGCUGAGAUACGAAAGCCAGGGGAGCAAACGGGAUUAGAUACCCCGGUAGUC
rnacentral:rRNA from 1 species